CGCUGUUAAUUUCAGUUGCUUUGAAUCCAAUUUUCUCCUCCGCAGCAUUAGUUAAAACACUGUUCCGAAAAAAUCACUCCAUAGCUCAGAGAACCACCAUCCAUCAUUGGUAAAGAAAACAAAUAGUUGAGGGAAUCAAGCUUCACAGCUGGCUCAUCUUUGUCCAGUGGCCACUGGAGAUUGUCACCAACUUUUACCAUGUUACCAACGAAACACCCUUGUCCAAGAUUCGAGCUAUCGUGAAUUUGCCCUUGGCAAGCUCUAGAGCUUCUCCUUCAUUCAUCAGAUGAACUGUGCAUCCUGGAAUCUGCAACCGAAAUUCUUUGUUGAUAGUUUUGGUUUCUGGGUUCUUCUGUUUUGGUAAGAAAAUGAUUUCAGGGCCACCGUGCCAGAAAAUGCCUACUCUAAUUCUUCUCUUGCCUUCUGUCCGAAGAGAAAUUAUUUUGCUAUGAAUGAAAAGGAAGAAGAAAGACAAGAGGCAGAUGAAAUGACACAACGUUAUACCCCAGGUAGAGUUAUUUGCUUCACCUACUAUGUUGAAAGGCUGUGCAAAUUUUGUGGUGCGGAAUGAGAGCUUGAAAUGGAGUUUUCAUGCAUCAGGAACCGGAAGAAUUAAGAUAACCCAACGGGAUGUAAGUUUUCUGUGCAAAACUUAUUUAUUCUUAGGGAGAUGAAAUCCCAAAGAUAAUCUACACUUUUUGUAGCAUUAGAGCAUAGAUCGUUCACAUUUCGGAACAUUAAUACGAUUAAUAGUGGCAAGAAAACAGAGCAUUUUGUCAUAUUAUUCAAGCUUGACAACAAUUUGUGGCUCUGGUGACCAGUUCUUUGAACCACUUGAGCAAAAUGGUCAAUUAAGUUCUACAAGAUAAAUACACUCCGCAGGUUAAUAACUCCUAUUUCUAUUCCUUGCUGCAUUCUUUGCUGCAUUCUUAAGCACUCCUGUGGAAACAGAUGUUGCUGGAUUGAUGGCUUUCCGUAUCUUGAAUAUAUUCCAAGCAGCGCACACACAAUGCCCUGCUGUUGCGAACGCAUCCUCAGCUGCCUCCCCUGCGCUAUCUCCAAACCUGUUGCUCAAAAUAGCGACGAAGAUAGCCAAGGAAAAAUGAACAUGGUAAAGUUUACUCAUUACUGAAUGGAGAAAUAUAAGGCCAAAAAGAGGGAAAAUGAACUUCGUAAAGAAGUGAACUUUUUUCGAGUAAUUAUAUUUAUGAUGUCAAUUGAGAAUUAACUGAAAAUUUAUCUUUAAACUAUGCUUCUUUACUUGGGGUUGGAGCUGGAGCACUACACCUUUUUAUCAAAUUAUAAUUGUGACAUGGUCACUAAAUUUAGGGAAACGCACACACGAGUGGAAGCAGCAUAUUGCCUUUGGCGAGUCAUUACCUAUCACUGAUCAUUCUGGUUGUAGCCUUUGAGGUUGCAGAUAAAGCUUGUCUUUCAGCAACUUCAGCUGCAUCUAGAAUCUUAUCUGUGGUUUGGAAAAUCAGAAAACGUCAUCACACAUUUGAAGGAAGAGAAUAGGAUCACUAGUUUAGCUAAAGUACUUACUGACAGCAUCAAGUGAAGCCAAGAGUACUUCUCCUGGGACCAUAGAUAGGAAUGCCUUUCCAGCUUGAGAUUUAACCAGAGGUGUAAUUACUGACCCGGUGGCAAUGCCAACACCAUCAAGCAUAGUUUUGCUUAGCUUUUCUGUCAUCCUGGACAGCUUUCUCACACUAUGUGGUAAAAAGCAAUAAUCAAACAUUUGCUUUGAAAAGAAGGGUAAAGUUUUGUCAUGUUCUCAUUUAUAAUGGAAAAUGGUCUUGUCUUA